rnacentral:rRNA from 1 species
UACGUAGGGUGCAAGCGUUGCCCGGAUUUAUUGGGCGUAAAGAGCUCGUAGGCGGUUCGCUAAGUCGGGUGUGAAACCUCCAGGCUCAACCUGGAGACGCCACCUGAUACUGGUGUGACUCGAGUCCGGUAGGGGAGCGUGGAAUUCCUGGUGUAGCGGUGAAAUGCGCAGAUAUCAGGAGGAACACCAGCGGCGAAGGCGGCGCUCUGGGCCGGAACUGACGCUGAGGAGCGAAAGCGUGGGUAGCAAACAGG